CCGCCGGUUGUCUAUUCCCGUUCCCCCGGUUGUCUCCUGUUCCCGCCGGUUGUCUGUUCCCGUUCCCCCGGUUGUUUCCCAUUCCCCGGUUGUCUCUGGUUCCCGGCUGUCUCUGUUCCCCGGUCAUCUCCCGGUUCCCCGGCUGUCCCGGUUCCCGGUCACCUCCCCCUUCCCGGCUGUCUCCAUUCCCCGGUUAUCUCCAUUCCCCGGUUGUCUCCAUUCCCCGGCUGUCCCGUUCCCCGGUCGUCUCCCGGUUCCCGGCUGUCCCGGUUCCCCGGCUGUCUCCAUUCCCCGGCUGUCUCCAUCCCCCCGGCUGUCCCGGUUCCCCGGCUGUCCCGGUUCCCCGUUCCCCGGCUGUCCGUUCCCCGGCUGUCCCGGUUCCCGGUUCCCCGUUCCCCGGCUGUCCCGGUUCCCGGUUCCC
rnacentral:lncRNA from 1 species